rnacentral:lncRNA from 1 species
UUGUUUAUCUAAGAAAAUAAAUGUACCUCUGUCUGUAUCCCAGAGUCCUGAUGUAAAUCCGAUUCAGUGUCCCACUGAUGCGUUCUGUCCUGAGGGCAGCACGGCCCCUGGUUACUGCAUGGAGACCUUCUUCAGAAAGGCAGGGGAGACGUGUGAACUUGCUCCUGUUACCAUUGCACUGCUUGUUAUUGGAGGAGGAGUGGGUCUUCUCUUCAUCAUCGUUUUGGUUCUGCGGAAGAGAAGAUAUCAUGACAGCGAGCUUUCCCUUGCUCGGACGCCCCUCCUGCGAAAAGACCGCCCACCUGGCCGCUUCUAUGGAGUCCCUUGUGAUGCAGAGCCUGUUUAUGCAGGCUGGUGACAUUACCAAGUACACUGACCCGUUUUCACCUGUACAAAUUUUGUCUGAAAGUUUCUAUUUAGAACUUCGACCUGUUCUAAGCUUUAUAUUGGUAAGAUACUAUUAAAUAUUUAAUGACUGAAGAGGCACUUAUUCCAUUUUUAAACCCUGUUUACUACUGACCAUGUUGUGGAGUUACGUCUCUUUUGAUUCUGACUGCUUUUGGAGUCUGGAAAGUAUGAGAAACCAUUCAGUAUUUUGUGUUCUUUUGUAUACAUUUUGCAGCGGAUAUUAUGUUAAGCCAUGGCACUGAAAGAAUUUUGGAGUAAGUUGCUGGAUUAUGCUUAUUUUGUUCACAGAUGUGUGUGUACUUUGUUUUUUGGUACCACUAUGUUUGUUUACCUAGGGUCCUCAAGGUAUAUUGUAUUAUAUACAUUUGCAGUAUUUCUUGUAUUUAACAUGUGAUGUCACAUAUUACUUUUAAAACAAAAUAUUUUGGACAUUUUCCAAGGUUGUAAACUGGAAUGAACAUCUUUUCACAACUUUGAGAUAAAAGUGUGGUGUCUUCUUUAUGCGAGUUUGAUGGGUCAUUCCUGAAACUUCCCUUCAGAAAUUCCCAACAUGUACUUUCAUGAUCUGAACUGUCAUAUGACAUAUCCUGUUACUGAUUAUAGAGAAAAUAUCAAAGACACUAAUUUAUUAAAACGGGAACAUCAUAAGACACCAUA